rnacentral:lncRNA from 1 species
GCCCCCAAAAAAUAACCAUAUAAUUACACCACUAACAUCGAUUGCACUAUCCUUUUUCGUAUCUUGCAUCUCACUAUGUUAAGUUGCAUGCACCAGCCAGUUGCACCUAAAAGCCUAAGCUGAUAGGAAAAGGCGGGCAAUUCACUUUAUACACUCCAACACUCCCCCUCACGCGGGACCCCCUCAAGUCUCAAGCGUGGAAUAUUAGAGUGGGCGCUGCAAUUAUUUUAUUUAAUUGCGCGCCAGCCAGGACUCGAACUCGAGACCUCUGGCUCUGAUACCAUGUUAAGUUGCAUGCACCAGCCAGUUGCACCUAAAAGCCUAAGCUG